rnacentral:tRNA from 1 species
GGGCUUGUAGCUCAGCGGUAGAGCGCGGGACUCAUAAUCCCUUGGUCGCGGGUUCAAAUCCUGCCGGGCCCA